UACAGAGGUCUCAAGCGUUGUUCGGAUUCAUUGGGCGUAAAGGGCGCGUAGGCGGCGGGGUCAGUCGGGUGUGAAAUCUUGGGGCUUAACCCCGAAACGGCACUCGAAACUGCCCGGCUGGAGGGCCGGAGAGGAGAUCGGAAUUCACGGUGUAGCAGUGAAAUGCGUAGAGAUCGUGAGGAAGACCAGUGGCGAAGGCGGGUCUCUGGACAGUUCCUGACACUGAGGCACGAAGGCUAGGGGAGCAAACGGG
rnacentral:rRNA from 1 species